rnacentral:rRNA from 1 species
GAUGAACGCUGGCGGCGUGCUUAACACAUGCAAGUCGAACGGUGAAAGAGAGCUUGCUCUCUAGAUCAGUGGCGAACGGGUGAGUAACACGUGAGCAAUCUGCCCCUGACUCUGGGAUAAGCGCUGGAAACGGCGUCUAAUACCGGAUACGAGCUGCGAAGGCAUCUUCAGCAGCUGGAAAGAACUUCGGUCAGGGAUGAGCUCGCGGCCUAUCAGCUAGUUGGUGAGGUAAUGGCUCACCAAGGCGUCGACGGGUAGCCGGCCUGAGAGGGUGACCGGCCACACUGGGACUGAGACACGGCCCAGACUCCUACGGGAGGCAGCAGUGGGGAAUAUUGCACAAUGGGCGCAAGCCUGAUGCAGCAACGCCGCGUGAGGGACGACGGCCUUCGGGUUGUAAACCUCUUUUAGUAGGGAAGAAGCGUAAGUGACGGUACCUGCAGAAGAAGCGCCGGCCAACUACGUGCCAGCCGCCGCGGUAAUAC